GCCUGGAUGGUUCAGUCGGUUAAGCGUCUGACUUUCACUCAGGUCAUGAUCUCUCAGCUCACGGGUUCAAGUCCCACCUCGGGCU
rnacentral:tRNA from 1 species